GUACACCAGCGUCCAAAUCUUGCCUUUGGCAUUUCCCUGUACGUUAGCGAUGAUGGGCAACCUAGCAAUGUGUGUAACACCAUGGUGCGCCGAGUUCCCUGAUCAGGAGGCGCAACGGGU
ncrna:unclassified sequences Flavobacterium-1 RNA